ACAGGAGCAGAUGUUUAAAGUGGCUGGAGUGCCUAUGGUGGAGAAUGUGGUGGCUGGUUACAAUAGCUGUAUGUUUGCCUAUGGACAGACUGGAAGUGGGAAAACUCACACUAUGCUUGGAGAUAUCGAGGGAGGAACACGUAGACACAGUGUCAACUGCGGGAUGACACCUAGAGUUUUUGAGUAUUUGUUCUCAAGGAUCCAAAAGG